ensembl:lncRNA novel transcript
GAGAGAGACUCUCAGCCACUCCCCCAGGGCCGGCCACCUCCCAGCCAUUGCCUGGUGUGCGGCCGCAGGGGAUGUCCAAGAAACCCCAAAAGCCUAAGCACAGCAGCCCUGGGAAGAAACCAGCAGGAAGGAAGACCAGGGAGUCCCAGGCUGUGGCGAGAGAAGAUAAUGACCCAAAUAGAGAUGAGGUCCCAAGGGCCCAACUUCCCACACACCGGCCAGGACUGCCUCGCCUAUCCACGCAUCGUGGAGAAUUCAGCAGUAGCGACUCCAACAUCAGAGCUCCCCAAGUUCUGGGGACUUCAGAGCCCUCUGCCUACAGCCUGGGAGGCCUCGUGCCCAGACGCCAUGCACCCUCUGGUGACUGGCAGCCACCUGUCCAUCCCCCAAGACCGGAAAGGCAGCAAUAGCCCCCGGGAGCCCAGGGCUGUCCUCGGUGCAUCCGGCUGCAGAGGGAAAUUGAGGACCUUAGAGACCAACUAGCGGCCAUGCAGUUCCUCACUGACAAGUUCCAGGACCUUUGAAGUUGGAGCCAGCAUCUUCCUACAAGAUGAACAGCUGCCACCUUUGGAGCUCCGGAGCUGCAGCCAAGCGGGUUCCCUCCAUAUCCUGUUCAGCCAGGGCUUCCUCUCUUCCUCUGCAUUUGCACACUUCCCAACGCAGUUCAAAGCAAUUUGAAAUAAAGUCGUUCUCAUAUUCUGUG